rnacentral:rRNA from 1 species
UACAGAGGGUGCGAGCGUUGUCCGGAAUCACUGGGCGUACAGGGCGCGUAGGUGGCGGCCCAAGUCCAUGGUGAAAGCUCGAUGCUCAACAUCGAGUCGGCCACGGAUACUGGGUUGCUCGAGCACUGUAGGGGCAGAUGGAAUUCCGGGUGUAGCGGUGGAAUGCGUAGAGAUCCGGAAGAACACCGGUGGCGAAGGCGGUCUGCUGGGCAGUUGCUGACACUGAGGCGCGACAGCGUGGGGAGCAAACAGG